UACGGAGGGGGCUAGCGUUGUUCGGAAUUAUUGGGCGUAAAGAGCGUGUAGGCGGUCCGGUAAGUCGGCCGUGAAAGUCCAGGGCUCAACCCUGGGAUGCCGGUCGAUACUGCCGGACUAGAGUUCGGAAGAGGCGAGUGGAAUUCCCGGUGUAGCGGUGAAAUGCGCAGAUAUCGGGAGGAACACCUAUGGCGAAGGCAGCUCGCUGGGACGUUACUGACGCUGAGACGCGAAAGCGUGGGGAGCAAACAGG
rnacentral:rRNA from 1 species